CAUGAUUGAAUUUUCUUGUUAUUUAUUGUACUGAUUUCAAUGUUUUCUUCAUUUAGGCACCUUUUCGCAGAGAGUCCAUUAUUUAUUAUUGACCUAAGAGAGUCAAAGAAACUCAUUGUCUGUGCAACAUGCCGUAUGAUGGAAGAGAGUACUGGCAGUGUGAAGGAUGCUAUAAAUGGUUCCACCCGGAAUGUGUUGGUGAGUCAGUGGAACCAGAAAAGUACACAUGCGCAUCAUGUUCACACAAGAAAACCAGCCCAGAGUAUAUGUGUAAAGAUGACAGAUCCUUAGGGAAGCCAAUUACUAUGUGAGUGAAUAGUUUCCAAAGGACGUUGCCGACCGACGCAGAAGCUUGAUGCCUGCCUUCCGGAAAGCUCGCGCUGAUGGCAAGAGAUGCUUUUCUCAGCUAUGACACCCUGUGCAUAGACGGUGUUCCGGUGCGGCCUGACAGCGCAACAACGAAUAACAGCAGCGGUAGCAGCAAGUAGGGGCUUCCGGAGGCUAACAUAAAAUUUCUCUCUUGGAACGUUCAAGAACUUACAAAUAUUUAACUUAGUCAUGACGACUUAGUAAAUUAUAUUCGUAAAUUUUAUAAUUAUUUUAUUGUUUGAAACAUGGCCAAAUAACUAUUCUUCUUAUGACAUCGUUGGUCAUGAAUGUUAACUUUUUAACAGGGAAUUUCAGAAUAAAAAAUCUAAACGAUGUAGUGGCGGAAUAGCAAUUAAUGUUUAGCAAUCCUUUGCGAAGGGAAUUUCUUUUGUAAAAAGUUAUCAUGAUGCUAUUGCGUGGUUUAAAUUAGAUAAGGUAUUUUUUUAGUUUAACGGACGAUAUUUCCCUGGCUGUGUGUACAUCUGGCAUUAGCUAUUCCCUAUUAAUAAUAUUUGAAAUGUUAAUUUAUUUGAUAUUUCAUAAAAAAUAUAUAUCAAUUUCAAACAAAUGGCAAAGUUUCUUUAGCGGGCGAUUGGAACGCUCGAGUAGGAAAUAAGCGAGAUUUUAUUGUUUGGGACCUCACAAUUAAUCCCAUAAAUGACCAGUCUUACGCAAGUGACUCUCAACUUACCCGGAAUUCAAUGGAAUCAAAAACUAAUUGUUUUGGUAAGAAGCUUGACAUGUGCAUAUCCACGUGGUUCUAGUGUCAUUGAAUACGUGUUACCACGUAAAGAAAACUUUAAUCUUAUAACACGUUUUAACGUUGACUCUUAUUCAGUAUGGUCAGAUCAUGGUGCACUGCUAUUUAAUAUAAAGUGUAAUACUGCAUUAUCGAGAAGUGUUAAAUGAAUCUAGUACAACACGUAUUAGUUGGUUGAAUCAGAAUCGUGACGAAUUUCGACAAAAAAUAAUCUCAAAUUCACAUAUGUUAAACAGUAUUAUCGAUUAUAUCGAUUGUAAUAGCUUUGACAGUAAUGAUUAUUGCUUGGCGAUUUUCUCAAAAGUACUCAGCGAAUCUGGUGAGCCUAGCAUAUGUCCGAUACACCCUGUUCAGGAAAUCCCAACUAGAUUAUGCACAUUAUGUGCCAUUCACCCGUGCAAUUGAAAAUAGUACACCAAAUAUAUAUUACACGUGCGUUGUUUUUGCGCCCAGGCGUGUUGUGUGAGUUAUUUACAAGCCUUUAACUUUACAGUGGUAAAUACUGGCAGAGAGCAAGACAUCGUUGGACAUCGAAGCAAAAUGUGUACAUAUGAUUGCCUUUGCACCAUGGUCAUGUAAUUCCAACUAGAUAUUGCAUAUUGCACGUGCGUUGUUUUUGCGCCGAUGCGUGUUGUGUGAGUUAUUUACAAGCCUUUAACUUUACAGUGGUAAAUACUGGCAGAGGGUAAGACAUCGUUGCACAUCGUUGGUCAUGUAACUCCAACUAGAUAUUGCACAUUGCGCUAUCGGAAAAUAUACAUGUAACACCAAAAGAUGUUGCACAUAUUCUGCUAAUGCCCCGUUGUGUAUUGUUGCACUCAAUCUCAUGCCUCAGACUUGACAAUGGAUUAUACCCGCUCGGGGACAGACAACGUUGCGCGUUUUAGUAUAAUUUAUAUACAUAUAUUGCCAUAAACGCUGUUCAAUUAUUUCAAAAAAGUGCACGAUUCAUGGUUUUGGCACAUAUACAUUUGUAUCUCCGAAUAGACAUGGCGCAUGUGUUGUUUUUGCUCUGAAGCGCAUUGUAUAGCUCCUUCACAUACCUUAAACUUGGCAAAGGUUGAUUCUCGCUCAAAGAAAGACAAUGUUGCAUAUCUCAGUAGAAUUUAUUCACAAUAAUAUUGCGCGCUAUCGAAUAAUAUAGCACCACAUAUUUGUUUCAUGCUCCGUAGUGUAUCGUUGCACUCAUCCACACGCCUUAUACUUGACAACGUAUGAUACUCGCUCGGAAAAAAACGUUUAACGUCUGAGUAUAAUUUAUACACAUUUAUUUUAUAUUUUUACAAAUUCGCUUACGGAAAUCAUAUCCUUCUGCUAACGUUAACCGGUAAUUAAGCGUUCAUAGACCGUUUGUACCUGUGGCCUUCUCGACUCGUGCUUGAAGCAAACACAAAAUAGUUCCCGUAAUAGAUUAAAAACUUGAGAUUUAAAUUUUUUAACGCAUACACAUGGUAACUAAUUUUAUCAUAAUAUCUGAUUUCUAAUAAGAAUCCUUCAUCCGUAUACAAUAUCUUUGUAAACAAUAUUUACUGUAUCAAUCCUCAUUUGAUUGACAUGUAAUAUCUAUUGGUACCGUUAUUUGUGUCAUAUCUAUAUUGAAUACA